rnacentral:rRNA from 1 species
CCUACGGGAGGCAGCAGUGAGGAAUAUUGGUCAAUGGACGAGAGUCUGAACCAGCCAAGUAGCGUGAAGGAUGACUGCUCUAUGGGUUGUAAACUUCUUUUAUAUGGGAAUAAAAUGUUGCACGUGUGGGAUUUUGUAUGUACCAUAUGAAUAAGGAUCGGCUAACUCCGUGCCAGCAGCCGCGGUAAUACGGAGGAUCCGAGCGUUAUCCGGAUUUAUUGGGUUUAAAGGGAGCGUAGGUGGAUUGGUAAGUCAGUUGUGAAAGUUUGCGGCUCAACCGUAAAAUUGCAGUUGAAACUGGCAGUCUUGAGUACAGUAGAGGUGAGCGGAAUUCGUGGUGUAGCGGUGAAAUGCUUAGAUAUCACGAAGAACUCCGAUUGCGAAGGCAGUUCACUGGACUGCAACUGACACUGAGGCUCGAAAGUGUGGGUAUCAAACAGGAUUAGAUACCCGAGUAGUC